rnacentral:rRNA from 1 species
AUUGAACGCUGGCGGCAGGCCUAACACAUGCAAGUCGAACGGUAACAGGAAGCAGCUUGCUGCUUUGCUGACGAGUGGCGGACGGGUGAGUAAUGUCUGGGAAACUGCCUGAUGGAGGGGGAUAACUACUGGAAACGGUAGCUAAUACCGCAUAACGUCGCAAGACCAAAGAGGGGGACCUUCGGGCCUCUUGCCAUCGGAUGUGCCCGGGUGGGAUUAGCUAGGUGGUGGGGUAACGGCGCACCUAGGCGACGAUCCCUAGCUGGUCUGAGAGGAUGACCAGCCACACUGGAACUGAGACACGGUCCAGACUCCUACGGGAGGCAGCAGUGGGGAAUAUUGCACCAUGGGCGCAAGCCUGAUGCAGCCAUGCCGCGUGUAUGAAGAAGGCCUUCGGGUUGUAAAGUACUUUCAGCGGGGAGGAAGGGAGUAAAGUUAAUACCUUUGCUCAUUGACGUUACCCGCAGAAGAAGCACCGGCUAACUCCGUG